GACGAACGCUGGCGGCGUGCCUAAUACAUGCAAGUUGAGCGAUGAAGAUUGGUGCUUGCACCAAUUUGAAGAGCAGCGAACGGGUGAGUAACGCGUGGGGAAUCUGCCUUUGAGCGGGGGACAACAUUUGGAAACGAAUGCUAAUACCGCAUAACAACUUUAAACAUAAGUUUUAAGUUUGAAAGAUGCAAUUGCAUCACUCAAAGAUGAUCCCGCGUUGUAUUAGCUAGUUGGUGAGGUAAAGGCUCACCAAGGCGAUGAUACAUAGCCGACCUGAGAGGGGGAACGGCCACAUUGGGACUGAGACACGGCCCAAACUCCUACGGGAGGCAGCAGUAGGGAAUCUUCGGCAAUGGACGAAAGUCCGACCGAGCAACGCCGCGUGAGUGAAGAAGGGUUUCGGAUCGUAAAACUCUGUUGGUAGAGAAGAACGUUGGUGAGAGUGGAAAGCUCAUCAAGUGACGGUAACUACCCAGAAAGGGACGGCUAACUACGUG
rnacentral:rRNA from 1 species